rnacentral:rRNA from 1 species
UGAACGCUAGCGGCAGGCCUAACACAUGCAAGUCGAGCGGAUGAAGGGAGCUUGCUCCUGGAUUCAGCGGCGGACGGGUGAGUAAUGCCUAGGAAUCUGCCUGGUAGUGGGGGAUAACGUCCGGAAACGGGCGCUAAUACCGCAUACGUCCUGAGGGAGAAAGUGGGGGAUCUUCGGACCUCACGCUAUCAGAUGAGCCUAGGUCGGAUUAGCUAGUUGGUGGGGUAAAGGCCUACCAAGGCGACGAUCCGUAACUGGUCUGAGAGGAUGAUCAGUCACACUGGAACUGAGACACGGUCCAGACUCCUACGGGAGGCAGCAGUGGGGAAUAUUGGACAAUGGGCGAAAGCCUGAUCCAGCCAUGCCGCGUGUGUGAAGAAGGUCUUCGGAUUGUAAAGCACUUUAAGUUGGGAGGAAGGGCAGUAAGUUAAUACCUUGCUGUUUUGACGUUACCAACAGAAUAAGCACCGGCUAACUUCGUG